ACAGCAGUAGCCGCGGUAAUACGAAGGGGGCUAGCGUUGCUCGGAAUGACUGGGCGUAAAGGGCGCGUAGGCGGCAUGUACAGUCAGAAGUGAAAUUCCUGGGCUCAACCUGGGGACUGCUUUUGAUACGUGCAGGCUAGAGUGAGGAAGAGGGUUGUGGAAUUUCCAGUGUAGAGGUGAAAUUCGUAGAUAUUGGGAAGAACACCGGUGGCGAAGGCGGCAACCUGGCUCAUUACUGACGCUGAGGCGCGAAAGCGUGGGGAGCAAACAGGAUUAGAUACCCGAGUAGUCCCUGUCUCUUAUAU
rnacentral:rRNA from 1 species